UACGAAGGGGGCUAGCGUUGCUCGGAAUCAUUGGGCGUAAAGCGCGCGUAGGUGGCCUCAUAAGUCCGCUGUGAAAGUCAAAGGCUCAACCUUUGAAAGCCGGUGGAUACUGUGAGGCUAGAGUACGGAAGAGGCGAGUGGAAUUCCUGGUGUAGCGGUGGAAUGCGCAGAUAUCAGGAGGAACACCGGUGGCGAAGGCGGGUCUCUGGGCAGUAACUGACGCUGAGGAGCGAAAGCGUGGGGAGCGAACAGG
rnacentral:rRNA from 1 species